rnacentral:SRP_RNA from 10 species
GCCGGGCGCAGUGGCGUGCACCUCAGCUACUCAGAAAGCUGCGGUGACAUCAUUUGCACCCAGGAGUUCUGGGCUGUAGUGCACCCGGAGUGCCCAUUGGGGGCCCAUACAAUGUUCAGCAUCAAUACAGUAACCUCCUGGAAGCAGGGGAUCGCCAGGUUGCCUCAGGGAGGGGUGAACCAGCCAAGGUUGAAAAUAGAACAGGUCAAAACUCCCUUGCAGAUCAGUCAUGGGAUCGUGCCUGUGAAUAGCCACUGCACUCCAGCCUGGGCAACUUAGCGCGACCUCGUCUCU